rnacentral:rRNA from 1 species
GAUCAUGGCUCAGGAUGAACGCUAGCUACAGGCUUAACACAUGCAAGUCGAGGGGCAGCAUGGUCUUAGCUUGCUAAGGCCGAUGGCGACCGGCGCACGGGUGAGCAACACGUACCCAACCUGCCGUCUACUCUUGGACAGCCUUCUGAAAGGAAGAUUAAUACAAGAUGGCAUCAUGAGUCCGCAUGUUCACAUGAUUAAAGGUAUUCCGGUAGACGAUGGGG